rnacentral:rRNA from 1 species
CGUAUCACUUAAAGCGAUUCAGCGGGUUACGAUUGACGGAGCGAAGCGACGUCAAAGCGUAUACAAAGUCGAGUCGGUUUAAGGAUACGUUCGUUGGGUAGGGGAGCGUUCUGUAAGCCUGUGAAGGUGUGUCGUGAGGCAUGCUGGAGGUAUCAGAAGUGCGAAUGCUGACAUAAGUAACGAUAAAGCGGGUGAAAAGCCCGCUCGCCGGAAGACCAAGGGUUCCUGUCCAACGUUAAUCGGGGCAGGGUGAGUCGACCCCUAAGGCGAGGCCGAAAGGCGUAGUCGAUGGGAAACGGGUUAAUAUUCCCGUACUUGGUGUUACUGCGAAGGGGGGACGGAGAAGGCUAUGUUGGCCGGGCGACGGUUGUCCCGGUUUAAGCGUGUAGGUGUGUGUUCCAGGUAAAUCCGGUUCACUUUAACACUGAGGCGUGAUGACGAGGCACUACGGUGCUGAAGCAACAAAUGCCCUGCUUCCAGGAAAAGCCUCUAAGCAUCAGGUAACAUCAAAUCGUACCCCAAACCGACACAGGUGGUCAGGUAGAGAAUACCAAGGCGCUUGAGAGAACUCGGGUGAAGGAACUAGGCAAAAUGGUGCCGUAACUUCGGGAGAAGGCACGCUGACAUGUAGGUGAAGUGAUUUACUCAUGGAGCUGAAGUCAGUCGAAGAUACCAGCUGGCUGCAACUGUUUAUUAAAAACACAGCACUGUGCAAACACGAAAGUGGACGUAUACGGUGUGACGCCUGCCCGGUGCCGGAAGGUUAAUUGAUGGGGUCAGCGCAAGCGAAGCUCCUGAUCGAAGCCCCGGUAAACGGCGGCCGUAACUAUAACGGUCCUAAGGUAGCGAAAUUCCUUGUCGGGUAAGUUCCGACCUGCACGAAUGGCGUAAUGAUGGCCAGGCUGUCUCCACCCGAGACUCAGUGAAAUUGAACUCGCUGUGAAGAUGCAGUGUACCCGCGGCAAGACGGAAAGACCCCGUGAACCUUUACUAUAGCUUGACACUGAACAUUGAGCCUUGAUGUGUAG